AGGAAGGAGGAAGAAGCAGCUUGAAUUCUAACCCAGGAAGAUGGCUCUUUGGGACAUGAGUCCACCAUCCUCUCAGUCUGCUGGCUUUUCAAAUAAAGUCACUCACUGUGACUCAUCUCUUGAUAUACUGAUGAGCAGUAUGAGCUUGGAUGGGGUAGCAAAUUUUGGUGAAGCCAGCCAGGAGCCUUGCCGCUCAUGGCCAGCCCAGCCCGAGUUGGGGAAUUUUCAGGUCAGGUCCUCGCAGCUGCUGGGACCUUAUCCCGAGCAUCCUCCUUUCAGAAUUCUCCAAAGCGGCACCAGCUGCCCCAGCACUUGGCAGAUGGAGCCAGGAAUUGACCUCAGGGAAUCCACGGGCUCCAUACAGUAGGGGGGACCUUGCCAGGGAGAAGAGAAAGGAUCCACCUGACUGCUAAAAUCACCGAAAGACCCAUCCCAGAAUUCAGCCUGGUGGGUGGAUGCCCCAGCCAAAAGGCAUCCUUGUAAUGACUGUGGACAGAAAUUGUCACCUGCCAUAUCAGAUGUUGCAGCCAUCAAGCGCACAGCACUGGAGCCUCUCUGGACCGUGUGCCUUGGAGGGAUUCAGGAUGAGGAAAAGCCGGGAGCUAAAGUGUACAUCAAAGAAAUGAUUUCAGUGAGCCCAGAUUCUUGCAUCUUCCCAUAGUUAGAAAAGUGCUAAACUUCUUACCUAGCGAU